AGCCUCCUGAAGCAACUGAAGGUCAUCUGCUCCUCAUCAACAACAUACAAAGCUUCAGGUCGAGGUAUGAGCCACGACCGUGUUUGCUGGGAAAAAAGCUGUCGUGGUCAGGAUCAGGUGGACUGCAGCUCUCGUCACUAUGUUGAUGUGUAGAAAUUCAAGGAUUUCAGGACAUUGAGUGCUCCCCCAAUUGCACGAGACGGGGAGGUGGAUGGCAUUUUUGAUGAAAUUGCUGACGUGAAUGGGGCUUUGAGAAGACUGAAAUCUCAUCAGUGGCGGAUAUACUGGCUCAAGAUGUUCAUGAGCUUCCUACAAGCACUGAGCUAACUCUUCCCUGCAUUUUUUGGGUCAAGUCUGCCAACACCUAUGGGAAGGUAAAACGCCGUGAUGAUGGGAUUUAAGUUGAAGCAAAAAACUGCAAAAACAGGAAGAAAGAUGGAAGAGAACCUUAUGGGUCGGCCCAAAAGUCAUGGUGGCGCAACACCGAUGCUGAUCAAUAGCCUCGGCAGUGCCGCCUUUGGACAAGCCCUCUGUCUCGAUUCUCCCUUCGCAACUCAGCUCCACCGACCAGAUGGCGAUGGCUGACGAAGAGCCCGAUGUCCAUGGCUCACCGGGUUCCGCUGGCUCAACUAACAGCCGUCUGCGGGUGCUUGCACAGGAUACCCGGCGAGUGUUUAAGACCCCACACAGGGCAGUUCUUGAGAUGCUCCUAGCACACCUUGGGCUAUCACCGGAUCAGUAUGAAUGUGUUGUUCAUGAGGAUGGCAAGAUCCGCGUGACCGUCUUUUUCAACACCUCUACGCUGGAUCUUGGAGGACCAAUCAGUCAUUCCUACUGGUCUAUGUUAUGCCUAAGACAUGCAAAGUUGUGGAUCGUCUGUAAGCUACAUGUGCUUUCGUUCGUCCUAUGCCUAUGAUAUUUGCUACUAAACCUAUCGUGCAACAUGCUUUCUAUGUUCGUACAUCAAUUGUUAGGUGAUUUCUUAUUGUGUGCAUACAAACAAACCUUACUUCCGAAUGAUUCUUUGUUAGUUUUUUAUUUUUAUCAUGGUUGAAAUAAUAUUGAGUGCA